CACGUAGUUAGCCGGCGCUUCAUACCCGGCUACCGUCAACCCCACCACGAAGGGCGGGGCCUUCACCACCGGAGAAAGAGGUUCACAACCCGAAGGCCUCCAUCCCUCACGCGACGUCGCUGCAUCAGGCUUCCGCCCAUUGUGCAAUACCCCCCACUGCUGCCUCCCGCAGGAGUCUGGGCCGUGUCUCAGUCCCAGUGUGGCCGCCCACCCUCCCAGGCCGGCUACCCGUCACCGCCUUGGUGGGCCAUCACCCCACCAACAAGCUGAUAGGCCGCGAGCCCAUCCCCCACCGAAACACCACAACGAUGAAUCUUUCCCGACCAGCCCAUGCGGACCAACCGGAACACCCCGUAUUAGCCGCCCUUUCAAGCGGUUAUCCCAGGAGAGGAGGGCAGGUUGCUCACGUGAUACUCACCCGUUCGCCACUCAACCCGCCCCAAAAAAGCGCGGGCCCGUUCGACUUGCAUGUGUUAAGCACGCCGCCAGCGUUCGUCCUGUAGCCAGGAUCAAACGUCU
rnacentral:rRNA from 1 species